rnacentral:lncRNA from 1 species
GCCAGGACCCAUGAAUGAAACAAAGCUGAAAGCUCUGAACUGCAGCAGCUUUGAGGGGAAAAAAAGGAGGGAGGGAAAAAAAAAAAGAAAACAAAAAAAAAAAGAAAACAAAAGAGCAGGACUUCAGAAAAAACAUAUUCUGUUUUUUUGUUGUUGUUGUUUUUUUGAAGUCUUAUAUCACAAAAGCAACAUAUCCUGCCUACCUCUACCUCAACAUAUUUCUGGUAACAUGUUCUCUGCAGAAACCUUCAAAAGGAAAGUUUUUUGUUUUGUUUCUGAUGAAGUUGUGCACCAGGGCUAUCUUUUCAUUUUCAAAACAGACGUGAACUCAGGAGGGAUGAAUCCCUAGAAGUGUUGUUCAGUCCUGAGGUUUUGUUUCUGAUAUAUGGGAAGAAUAACCAUGAGAAGAUGCAAGUAGUAAAGUGUUGGGGAGAACCCAUGUGCCUUGGUCCCUAGCUCCUGCAAUAAUCAGUGCAAUUGUUUAUAAAACAGAACCAUAUUAUUGUAGGAAAACUGAUCUUUUCAGCAUUUUACCUUACAUGACAGGUACAGUCUGGUGGUUAUGAUAUGCAGUGCCUGCUGACAAACCAAGAAGCUGUUUUGAUGACCCGUUGUGCAAAGAAACCUGUCUGCAGGCCGUAUGUCUGUGUGAUUACAAAAGUGGAGCAUUUCUUAUCCCCAGUGUUAAGUGGAACCAGUCUGGCUGAGCUGAGUAGAAACGCAGUGACUAGUGCUGGGGCCGUUACUGGCUGUGUAUGGGGAGGCAUCCUCUGGAGAUGGAUCGGGCAGAACAAGCAAACCAUGACAUUCAGCCGUUACGUCUGCAAGCAGAUCUGCGGCUACUUCCUGCAGUUGUCCAUGGUGUUUCUCAUUGGUAAUUAUGGGGUUAAUAGACUCAAAGUGGAAGAGGAGACAAAGGCAGAGUGAAAAAAUCACCUGGCAAGUUUGGGUGAUGGUAAAUGAAGCACGUUACACUAAAGACAAUCUCUUCUCUGCUGCUCGAUUUUUCUUACACAGCAAAGAGUACACCUGGCUGUUCAGUACAAAACAACUUAAAUGAGCCUGUGAAAACUAUCAGUGCACAAGUUGGGCUAAAUCUCUUACAAAUAGAGGAAAAUACACCUGUGAUAUUGUCUCUGGAAAGAGAUUGCUAGCGGUUUUUGAGAUUUCCCCAAGUUCAGUCCCUGGUGAGUACACAGAUAUGAACAGUGUGCCUAUAAACAAGAUUUAAAGGUUUGCAUUGAAAUAAGAAACAUAGAGCUGAUGAAUGUCCUAACACACAUGUCGAGGUGUAUAACACAUCUGAUGCAACAAAUGUUUCAUACUUUCUUCAUAGCUUCUAGAGUCAAUUUAUUUUCAGAUCCG